AUCAACGCUGGGCGGCCGUGCCUCAGACAUGCAAGUCGAACGCGAAAGUUCCCUUCGGGGGGCGAGUAGAGUGGCGCACGGGUGAGUAACACGUAGGUAAUCUACCUUUGGAUUGGGAAUAACAACCGGAAACGGUUGCUAAUACCGAAUAAUGCAGGCGGCACCAAAUGGUGACAGUUGUUAAAGCGGGGGGAUCGCAAGACCCUCGCGUCUGAAGAGGAGCCUGCGGCAGAUUAGCUAGUUGGUAAGGGUAACGGCUUACCAAGGCGAUGAUCUGUAGCCGGCCUGAGAGGGCGGUCGGCCACACUGACACUGACAUACGGGUCAGACUCCUACGGGAGGCAGCAGUCGGGAAUUUUGGGCAAUGGGCGCAAGCCUGACCCAGCAACGCCGCGUGAAGGAUGAAAUCCUUCGGGAUGUAAACUUCGCAAGAACGGGAAGAAUAAGCCGGUGUAAAAAGCACCGGUGAUGACGGUACUGUUUGUAAGCUCCGGCUAACUCCGUGCCAGCAGCCGCGGUAAUACGGGGGGAGCAAGCGUUGUUCGGGAUUUACUGGGCGUAAAGGGGCGCGUAGGCGGCCACCCGCAAGUCGACUGUGAAAUCUCCGGGCUUAACCCGGAAAGGUCAGCCGAUACUGCGGGGCUAGAGUGCAGAAGGGGCAACUGGAAUUCCGGUGUAGCGGUGGAAAUGCGUAGAUAUCGAGAGGAACACCUGGGCGAAGGCGGGUUGCUGGAGCUUGACACUGACGCUGAGUGCGCAAAGCUGGGGGAGCGAACCGGGAUUAGAUACCCGGUAGUCCUACGCCUUAAACGAUGCAUGACUAGGUGUCUGGGGUUUAUCGAUCCCCCUCGGGCGCCGUCAGCUAACGCAUUAAGCCUCCGCCUGGGGGAGCUACGGUCGCCGCAAGGACUAGAAACUCAAAGGAAUUGACGGGGACCCGCACAAGCAGCGGAGCGUGUGGUUUAAUUCGAUGCAACGCGCAGAACCUUACCUCGGCUUGACAUGCAACGUGGUACUUGACCCGAAAGGGAAGGGACCCGCGAAGGGAGCGUGCACAGAUGCUGCAUGGCUGUCGUCAGCUCGUGCCGUGAGGGUGUUGGGUUAAGUCCCGCAACGAGCGCAACCCCUGUCCUUAGUUGCCUUCUCUAAGGAGACCGCCGGUCUAAGCCGGAGGAAGGUGGGGAUGACGUCAAGUCAGCACGGCUCUUACGUCGAGGGCUACACACACGCUACAAUGGCCGGUACAACGGGCUGCGAAGGGGCGACCUGGAGCUAAUCCCACCAAAGCCGGUCUCAGUUCGGAUUGCAGGCUGCAACUCGCCUGCAUGAAGUCGGAGUUGCUAGUAACUGCUGGUCAGCACACAGCAGUGAAUACGUUCCCGGGCCUUGUACACACCGCCCGUCACGUCAUGAAAGUUGGAUACGCCUGAAGCCAGUGGCCUAACCCGCAAGGGAGGGAGCCGUCGAGGGCGGAGCCAGCGGAUUGGAACG
rnacentral:rRNA from 1 species